GGGUGACUAGUGACAGAGUGAGGAAGGGGGUGACACAGUGACAGAGUGAGGGAGGGGGUGACUAGUGACAGAGUGAAGGAGGUGGUGACUGUCACUAGUCACACCCUUCCCUCCCUCACUCUGUCACUAGUCACCACCUCCCUCUGUCACUACUCCCUCCCUCCUUCUGUCACUAGUCACCCCCUCCCUCACUGUGUCACUAGUCACCCCCUCACUCUGUCACUAGUCACCCC